CUGUCCAGAGUUGCAUUAAUUUUCUACCAAGUUCUUAUAUUGAUGAUGGGAGAGUUGGACCGCUGCACGUAGUCUUCUCCAGCACAUCCUAAAAAUUGUCAGUGGAGCUAUGGUCUGGACUCUGUGGAGGCCAAUCCAUGUGUGAAAAUGAUGUCUCAUGCUCCCUGAACCACUCAUUUACAAUGUGAGCCUCAUUUAUCCUGGCAUCGUCAUUUUGGAACAUGCCUGUGCCAUCAGGGAAGAAAAACUCCACUGAUGCAAAGACCUGGUCCUUCAGUAUAUUCAGGUAGUCAGCUGACUUCAUUCUUUGGGAACAUAACGUUGCUGAACCUGACCAACCCCAGAUCAUAUCCAUAGUCACAGGCUUGUAGGCAUUAGGCAUGAGUGCAUCACUUCAUCUGCCUCUCUUCUUACCCUGAUACGCCCAUCACUUUGGAACAGGGUAAAUCUGGACUCCUCAGGACACAUGACUGACCACAUUUGCUCCUCGAAGAUGAUGGUUCACGAAGUUUUAAUCAUGCGUUGGACGGUUCUUAACCUGAUUUUAGUAGUUUUAUAGCUUCAAAAAUCUUCUGAGCUGUUUUCUUUGCUUGAUGCAGGCCAAUAAUUUGACGCUUCUGAGGCAGAUUAACGUCCUUUCCUUGAUCAAAGGAUAUGUCUUUUGAGAUGGUUGUUUAAGAAAUGAGAAGCUCCUCACUACAUCAGUUAUGGUUAAGUAACUUAUUGUCAGCUGAAAUUCAUUCAUCACUGCAGCAAUUGUCGUGUGUGUGUGUGUGUGUGUGUGUGUGUGUGUGUGUGUUCUUGUACUUGCUACAUUGUGAGUACCAUUUUCUGCAUUUAACUAUCAAAGUGAGGACAUUUUUACAAAGUGAGGACAUUUUGACCGGUCCUCACUUUGAAACAGCCAUGUUUGAGGGUGAAGACUUGUUUUUAGAGAACAGGUAUGAAUUGAGGUUUGGUUAGGGUUAGGGUAAGGAUUAAGUUUAGGCAAUCAGUUGUGAUGGUUAAGGUUAGGGUAAGGAUUAAGUUUAGGCAAUCAGUUGUGAUGGUUAAGGUUAGGGUAAGGCUCUAGGAAAUGCAUUACGCCUAUGGAUGUCCUCACUAAGAUAGAAGUACAAACGUGUGUGUGUGUGUGUGUGUGUGUGUGUGUGUGUGCGUGUGUGUGUGUGUGUGUUCUUGUACUUGCUACAUUGUGAGUACCAUUUUCUGCAUUUAACUAUCAAAGUGAGGACAUUUUUACAAAGUGAGGACAUUUUGACCGGUCCUCACUUUGAAACAGCCAUGUUUGAGGGUGAAGACUUGUUUUUAGAGAACAGGUAUGAAUUGAGGUUUGGUUAGGGUUAGGGUAAGGAUUAAGUUUAGGCAAUCAGUUGUGAUGGUUAAGGUUAGGGUAAGGCUCUAGGAAAUGCAUUACGCCUAUGGAUGUCCUCACUAAGAUAGAAGUACAAACGUGUGUGUGUGUGUGUGUGUGUGUGUGUGUGUGUGUGUGUGCGUGUGCGUGUGCGUGUGUGUGUGAUAAUCUCAGGGAAUCAUUUUAAAACUCAUAGUAGAACAUUACAAUGAAUGCCUAUGAAACUGAUAAUGUCAUUUAUUUCAGAGGUAAUGUUUGGAUUUGUUCAUUACAUUCU